rnacentral:rRNA from 1 species
GUGGGGAAUAUUGGACAAUGGGCGAAAGCCUGAUCCAGCCAUGCCGCGUGAGUGAUGAAGGCCUUAGGGUUGUAAUGCUCUUUUAGCGGGGAAGAUAAUGACGGUACCCGCAGAAUAAGCCCCGGCUAACUUCGUGCCAGCAGCCGCGGUAAUACGAAGGGGGCUAGCGUUGUUCGGAAUUACUGGGCGUAAAGCGCACGUAGGCGGAUUGGCAAGUCAGGGGUGAAAUCCCGGGGCUCAACCUCGGAACUGCCUUUGAUACUGCCAGUCUAGAGUCCGGAAGAGGUGGGUGGAAUUCCUAGUGUAGAGGUGAAAUUCGCAGAUAUUAGGAAGAACACCGGUGGCGAAGGCGGCCCACUGGUCCGGAACUGACGCUGAGGUGCGAAAGCGUGGGGAGCAAACAGGAUUAGAAACCCUAGUAGUCC